rnacentral:sRNA from 1 species
AGUAAUAACCGAUGUAUUGGACAAAUUAGAAGACGAAGCGACAUCAGAAGUGCCACGUGACACUGCAGUCAACCGAGAUCUUAUGAUCAAUGCAGUACUCAAUUCAGACGAUCAACUCGCCCACGCAGCCGUCUUCCGAUGGUUGCUGACGAAGAACAAGACGAAUGUGAUUCUACAGAGCAAAUCUCCGUUUAUCGAGUUCUUCCUGGUACAGGAGAUCAACGCUGGCCGCGGGCAAAAAUAUUUCGAUCUGUUGUGGAGGUUCUAUGAGAAGAGCGGAAAUUAUGAUAAAGCCGCAAGGCUUUUGAGCAAAUUGGCUGAAAAUGAUAAGUUAGUGUGGAGGAGAAAUCACACAAAAAAUCAUAUAUUUUAGAGAUUUUUCAGUGAAAAUCUUCAAAAAAAAAAUUUAACACGAAAAAUUCAAUUAAAAAGUGAUAAAUUAAUCGAAAAUGGAGAGAAAUUGAAAUUCCGGGCGCUUUCUCGAUACUCUUUUGAAAAAUUCCAUAAUUUUCGCUCCAAAAAUUAGGAUUUUUUUUUGCAAACUAAAUUUUAAAAAUAAUUAUUGAGCAUAUAGAAGUUUUCAGAAUUACCGUAUUUUUUCUUCAAAAAGUCAGAAAAUCCUGAAAAUAGCUUUAAAUGAUGAUGAUUUUUCAGCGAAAAACGUGUUUUGAGGUGGUUUUUUUCAGAAAAAAUGUUUGCAGAAUAACGGAAAGAGUAACUUUAAAAGAUAAAUCGAGAGACUAUUUUCUGGCACAAAGUCCGUUUUUUCCCCUAUUUUCAGUAAUUUUUGCGAGAAAAUUGGAAAAAUUCUAUUUAUCACAAUUUAAUUUUUAUUAAAAAUGGAAAAUCUGAAAAUUCCAUUUUUAAAACUGAAAUUGAACUGAAAACUGUAGGGUUUAUUUUGAAAAAAAAAUUGUUUUUUAAAAAGUUUUCACAAAUUUCGGAAUAAAAUAUAAUGAACAGAUUUGUGAUGAAAUUAUUUCCUAUAUGAAAUGAAUCGGAAUCAGUACAGGAAGUUUAACAAUUGAAAUAUUUUUGCUGAAAAAUUCAAAAAAGUUGCCUUUUUCUGGGAAAAACUCGAAAAUUGGGAAUAUUUUUAUCUGAAAAUUGUCAUACAAAAUUGAUGUAAAAUUUAAAAAAUUGAACAAAUUUUAAGAAUUUGACAUUUUUCAGAGAAGCUUUAGAUAAUACAUUAUUUCUGCUUCAAAAAAUGUAAAUUUUAGUUUUUUUUUUUUAAUUUUCACAAAAAUAAAUACUUCGAAACAAGCGAAAAAAUCGAUUUUUUUUCUAUAUUCUUGACUUUUCUGUACAAAAUUCCUGUAAGUUUGAAAAAAUUGCUUUAAAAAAUUCAGAUUUUUAGGGAAAAAUUAUUUUUUAAAAAUCACAAAAUGCUGUAGAAAAUUUUGAAAAAUUGUGCCCCCCACAGAAUUUUUUUGGGAUUCUGCCCAAAUUGAAGAAAUACUUUGUAAAAUUUGAAAAAGUAUCAAAAAAGUAAUUUUUCAUAAUGUUUUUCCGAAAAUAUAUUUAAAAUUUGGGAAAUUUUCCUUAAAAAAGAUUUAUUUGAAGAAAAGAAAAAAAAUUUUUUUGAAGUUUUCGCAAAUUUCGGUAAAAAAUAGAAUAAUUUAAAAAAAAACAUCAACUUUUUUCGCAAAAAAAUAAACAUUUUCUAAUUUUUCAAAAAAAAAAAAUGGAAAAAGCGAAUUUUUUCAAAAAAUACCACUCUUUUUUUCAAAACCACUCAAUUUACAUUGUUAGAAAAAACAUGUAAAUUUCAAUUUUCAAAAGUGGAGUAUCGAAAGGUGAUACUUUGCUUUUUUAGACCCAAAAUGUUCCAAAACUACCAAAUUUCGUAAUGAGACGCUCUGAAAAUGUCUCAAAAAAAAGUUAUGUCGGUUCAAAGUUCAGCAAAAUAGGGCCCAUUUGCAGCUAAAAUCGAAAUUUUUUCCAACUUCUCGGUGUCGCAACGCCUGGAACCUAAUUUUUAUUUAUUCAUCACUUUUAAAUAAAUAUUGUGGUCUUUGAUUGGGCGUUUAUUCGUUGAUUUAAGUACAUUUAUAGUCUUUGGGGCACAAAAUGUAACUUUUAUUUGUGCCACAAAGACCAUAAAUGUGCUUAAAUCAACGAAUAAACGCUCACUCAAAGACCACAAUAUUUAUUAAAAAAGUGAUGAAUAAAUAAAAGUUAGGUUCCAGACGUUGCAACACCGAGAAGUUGGAAAAAAUUUCGAUUUUAGCUGCAAAUGAGCCUUAUUUUGCCGAACAUUGAACCGCCAUAACUUUUUUUUUGGGAAAUUUUCAGAACGUCUCAUUAGGAAAUUCGGUAGUUUUGGACCAAUUUUGGUCUAAAAAAGCAAAGUAUCACACAUUUCGGUACUCCACAUUUAAAAAUUGAAAUUUACAGGUUUUAUUGAAAUAACAAUGUAAAUUGAGUGGUUUUGAAAAAAAAGAGUGGUAUUUUUUGAAAAAAUUCGCUUUUCCCAUUUUUUUUUUGAAAAAUUAGAAAAUGUUUAUUUUUUUGCGAAAAAAGUUGAUGUUUUAAAAAAAAAUUAUUCUAAAUUGAAAAUUCUCAAAAUUUGCAGCUGGAAAAUGGGUUUGACCCAACGAUGCGCCUACCUCUCCCACGCAAUUCUAUGUGCUCAAUCUUGUAAGGAUUCAACUGUAACUACAAAUAUUGAUGAGCUCCGUGAUCGGCUCGACGUGGCAAAUGUUCAAAUGAGAAUUAAAGAUGCUCUCGGCUGCUCGGCGUCGGCGUCGGCUCGAAAUCAGGAAUUCGUCAGAAAACUCGAUGGGCCGAUUCUUUCACUGCAAGAGUUGCUUCUUCAAUACGUUGUACCAUUUAAGCUGCACAAAAUCAAGCUCUCACUGCUCCAUUGUGCUGGAAUGUAUGUGGAAAAGCAUAUAUUCGAAACGUGGGAGGAUAUCAUCCAAGAUGG